rnacentral:rRNA from 1 species
GACGAACGCUGGCGGCGUGCUUAACACAUGCAAGUCGAACGAAGAGCGAUGGAAGCUUGCUUCUAUCAAUCUUAGUGGCGAACGGGUGAGUAACGCGUAAUCAACCUGCCCUUCAGAGGGGGACAACAGUUGGAAACGACUGCUAAUGCCGCAUACGAUCUGACCUCGGCAUCGAGGAUAGAUGAAAGGUGGCCUCUAUUUAUAAGCUAUCACUGAAGGGGGGGAUUGCGUCUGAUUAGCUAGUUGGAGGGGUAACGGCCCACCAAGGCGAUGAUCAGUAGCCGGUCUGAGAGGAUGAACGGCCACAGUGGGACUGAGACACGGCCCAGACUCCUACGGGAGGCAGCAGUGGGGAAUCUUCCGCAAUGGACGAAAGUCUGACGGAGCAACGCCGCGUGAGUGAUGACGGCCGUCGGGUUGUAAAGCUCUGUUAAUCGGGACGAAAGGCCUUCUUGCGAAUAGUUAGAAGGAUUGACGGUACCGGAAUAGAAAGCCACGGCUAACUACGUG